CACUCACCAUGAAGAUCACGCUGUCCUUAUUACUGAUGAAGCUGAGCCUAUUUGUCUGCAGUGUGAAAGGUCAAAGUUUGGAGUCCUUUCCUAGUGAUCCAGUGUUGGUGCGUCCUGGGGGAAGUUUUUCUGUCUCCUGUAAGGCAGUUGGAUAUAGAUUUGAGGGUUAUUCCAUGCACUGGAUAAGACAACCAUCUGGAAAAGCCCUCCAGUGGAUUGAGCGCAUCUUUCCUACCAAUGGAGAAACAUUAUAUGCUAAAGGUCUUGAAGGACGGAUUGAAAUAAUGAAGGACAACAGCAAAAGCACUUCAUACCUUAAACUGUCUGGUCUGACAGUAGAAGACACAGCUGUGUAUUACUGUGCCCGUUUAGCACAGUGUGACAAACAGAUGGGAAGGGUGUACAAAAACCAGCAGCUGAGCUCACUCGUCAUGCAGGGGUCGGUGUCACUACACAUGAACUACGACACUGUUGGCUUUCUGAGUGUGAAAUGCUGGGACUCCAAAACUGAUGCAAAAAAGGCUUAA